CUGCUGCUUCUGGGUAUGGUCACUAGGCCAGUGAGUCGGUUCUGUUACAGGACUAAUAAACUGAUUUUUAUUUCAUGAUUCAUGGGAAUGCAGCUAUGGAAUUGCUAACUGAAAAGUCACAUAUGAUUAUUGAGCAUUCAUAGAAGCUAAUAGAAUAAAUUCUGCCAUAAGACUGAGUGUGCCUUUGAUAUGUUAUCCCAGUUUUUGGGGUAACAUUCAGAUAGUCCAGUUUUAGUUGAAUAAAUGCUCAAAACCAAAUGCAGAAUUGAACCUUUAUAUUAUAUUACUAGGACGGGAUUUUACAGCCUGAAGAUCCUGGUGCAACCUAACAUAAUAGCUGUAUAAAUAAACUUAAAAAUCUUGGGUAGCACCAGUAGUUUAUUUCUGAAGCAGAAAACUGCUUAGGAAACUGUACUUUUGAUUGUAAAUAUUUAGCUAGCAGGAUGCCGAAAGGUGGCUUGACAUGUGGAAGUGUCUGCAACUGUAAACAGCGUAAGGGCUCUGAUAAGGAAGACUAGCAGUCAGGCAGUCCAGGAGGGGGAGCAACAAACUUCCUAUGUUGAACUUCCAGUGGAACCCAGGAAAGUUUCACAGGCCUAAAUCGUUUGAUGACUAGGAGGAAGAGACUAAUUUGCUUCUUAAGACAGAAAGCAAGCAUUUAUGAAAGACCUGUCUGAUUUAGGUAUCACUACUUCUUGAGAGUAGCUUGAAUCUCACAGGGAUGCCAAGAGAAUAUUUUGGAGCUGCAGUGAAGACUGGUAUUCUCCCUGGAUGUGAAUACUAGUAGGAGGCCACUGUCAAACAAUAAUUGUUUUCUUAAUUUUAUCACAUUAGGAAAGAAAGCUUAAAUCAGUUUUACAGCAGAAUCAAAUCCUGAGUACUGGUUGCUCUGCAAUUCUUCAUUAUGAAAUCCCUGGGCUUGCUUUGGAGAUUGUAUGAAUGCUGUACAAUGCACCUGCUGAUCAGCUUGCUAAUAGUUAAAUAAAACUGAUUGAAUGUCUAAUAAAAGUGUGACUUCUGCUGAAUGUUACGGCAAGAACUUGGGACUGAUAGUGUGUAUUCAACAACCUUUCUAUUAAGGAAAGUAAGACUUUUGGAAAUAAUUUCAAAGAAAUGUGAGGAGAAAUCACAUGGUAGAUACUAAGCCUCAUCCAUCUAAGUACAAUUGGCUCUGCGUUCUGGCUUAAACUAUUGCAGUAGUGUUUUUGAAGUUUAGCUUCAUGGAAAUGAAGUCUCAAAUAAAGCCAUUGCACACAGUAGUGCUUCCUUGAAAACCUCUAACUAACCAACAAGAACUUGCUCCAUGUGGGUGUGAUACAGCAACUGAUGAGAC